AUUGAACGCUGGCGGCAUGCCUACACAUGCAAGUCGAACGGCAGCACGGGAGCAAUCCUGGUGGCGAGUGGCGAACGGGUGAGUAAUAUAUCGGAACGUGCCCAGUCGUGGGGGAUAACGCAGCGAAAGCUGUGCUAAUACCGCAUGAGAUCUAUGGAUGAAAGCGGGGGAUCGCAAGACCUCGCGCGAUUGGAGCGGCCGAUAUCAGAUUAGGUAGUUGGUGGGGUAAAGGCUCACCAAGCCGACGAUCUGUAGCUGGUCUGAGAGGACGACCAGCCACACUGGAACUGAGACACGGUCCAGACUCCUACGGGAGGCAGCAGUGGGGAAUUUUGGACAAUGGGCGCAAGCCUGAUCCAGCAAUGCCGCGUGCAGGAUGAAGGCCUUCAGGUUGUAAACUGCUUUUGUACGGAACGAAAAGGCUCUGGUUAAUACCUGGGGCACAUGACGGUACCGUAAGAAUAAGCACCGGCUAACUACGUGCCAGCCGCCGCAGUAA
rnacentral:rRNA from 1 species